rnacentral:rRNA from 1 species
ACGCUCGACACCUACGGGAGGCAGCAGUGGGGAAUAUUGCACAAUGGGGGAAACCCUGAUGCAGCGACGCCGCGUGAGCGAAGAAGUAUUUCGGUAUGUAAAGCUCUAUCAGCAGGGAAGAUCAUGACGGUACCUGACUAAGAAGCUCCGGCUAAAUACGUGCAAGCAGCCGCGGUAAUCUGAGCGGGCUGGCAAGGC